UACGGGGGGGGCAAGCGUUGUUCGGAAUUACUGGGCGUAAAGGGCUCGUAGGCGGCCAACUAAGUCGGACGUGAAAUCCCCAGGCUUAACUUGGGAACUGCGUCCGAUACUGGAUGGCUUGAAUCCGGGAGAGGGAUGCGGAAUUCCAGGUGUAGCGGUGAAAUGCGUAGAUAUCUGGAGGAACACCGGUGGCGAAGGCGGCAUUCUGGACCGAUAUUGACGCUGAGGAGCGAAAGCCAGGGGAGCAAACGGG
rnacentral:rRNA from 1 species